CUUGGCAGAAUCAGCGGG
rnacentral:snRNA from 1 species